UACAGAGGUCCCAAGCGUUGUUCGGAUUCACUGGGCGUAAAGGGUGCGUAGGUGGUGAGGUAAGUCGGAUGUGAAAUCUCCAAGCUCAACUUGGAAACUGCAUUGGAAACUACCUUGCUAGAGGAUUUGAGGGGGGAUUGGAAUACUUGGUGUAGCAGUGAAAUGCGCAGAUAUCAGGAGGAACACCGGUGGCGAAGGCGGGUCUCUGGGCCGAUACUGACGCUGAGGAGCGAAAGCGUGGGGAGCGAACAGG
rnacentral:rRNA from 1 species